AGGCUGAGGCAGGAGAAUGGGGUGAACCCAGGAGGCAGAGGUUGCAGUGAGCUGAGAUCGUGCCACUGCGCUCCAGCCUGGGCAACAGAGUGAAACUCUGUCUCAAAAAAAAAGGAGGAGGAUGAGUGGUUGGUAGACUGCUGGAGAAACAGUCUAGAGGUAGGGAGCCCUGGGUUCUGUCCUGCCUGUGACACUCUGUAGCCAUUUAUCUCUUCUUUAGCUUUAGUUUCCACAUUAAAAGAGGCAUUGAAAAAAAAUGAAAAAGAGGCAUUGAAUUAGGAGCUUUCUGUGGCCCCUUGCAGUUUUCAUGUGUGGUGACAAAGUUCGAUACAGUUUUCCUGAAUUCAGGGGCUGGGGACCCAUGUCCCCCUACCCCAAGUUCUUUUUUUCUUUUUUUUUUUUUGAGAGGGAGUCUCACUCUGUCGCCCAGGCUGCAGUGCAGUGGUGAGAUCUCAGCUCACUGCAACCUCCACCUCCCAGGUUCAAGUGAUUCUCCUUUCUCAGCCUCCUGAGUAGCUGGGACUACAGGUGUGUGCCACCACGCCAGGCUAAUUUUUUAAUUUUUAGUAGAGACAGGAUCUCACCAUGUUGGCCAGGCUGGUCUUGAACUCCUGGCCUCAGGUAAUCUACCCACCUCAGCCUCCCAAAGUGCUGGGAUUAUAGGCGUGAGCCAGCAUGCCCAGCCAGAAGUUUGCUUUGUUUUGAGUCUGUGAUCAGCCUUUCACUGAAUACACAAUUUACAUGUGAGAGUGGGUAGAGGAAUAGUCACAUAUGCCUUAUUCACUGUCUGGCUCGGUGAAUCUGCAUUUUUGUAUAAACAAUAGGGCAGAGGAAGAAAUCCAUAUGCAUUUGUCUUCAGUGAGCGGAGGGAUGACUUUCUGCAUUGUACCUGUGAAGAUAAGCUAUCAAUUUACAUUGCCAGGGAAAAUUCAUCAGAACUGUUUUAGGACAAAGAUCUUGAGGCCCAAAAGGAAUUUGUCUGUGGAGAAAUUGUGAGGGGGGUAUGUAGCUCUUUUGAACUUUCUAGCUAUCUUAUUGAAGAAUAAAACGGGAGGCAGGUUUGUCUGACGCAACCCUCAGCUUGACCUCUCUGGCUUAGUGAUCUUGGGAUCCCGAGAUUUAUUUUCCUUUCACAGUAGGAUACAUUGAUCAGGUCAGUGCUACAGUACAAGGGUCAGAAGCGUUUGAACCCGAGCGACUCCAUCUUGAACAGGGGCUGGGUAAAAUGAGGCUGAGAACGGCUGGGCUCCAUCCCCAGGAGGCUGGGCAUUCUUGGUUACAGGAUGAAACAGGAGGUCAGCAGGUUUGGUAUCACAAGAUACAGGUCACAAAGCCCCUGCUGAUAGAAGAGGAUGCGGUAAAGAAGCCCGCCAAAACCACGACGGUGAUGAAGGUGACUCUGGUUGUCCUCACCGCUCAUUAUACGCUAAUUAUAAACAUUAGCAUGCUAAAAGACACUCCUACCGGUGCCAUGACAGUUUAUAGAUGCCAUGGCAACGUCAGGAAGUUACCCUAUAUGGUCUGAAAAGGAGGGGAAACCUUAGUUCCAGGAAUUGCCCUCUGCUUUCCUGGAAAACUCAUGAAUAAUCCACCCCCUUGUUUAGCAUAGAACCAAGAAGUAACUAUAAGUAUACUCAGUCCAGCAGCUCAUGCUGCUGCUCUGGCUGUAGAGUAGUCAUUCUUUUAUUCCUUUACUUUCUUUUAUUUUUUAUUUAUUAUUAUUACUAUUAUUUUAUUUGAGGUGGAGUCUCUGUCACCUAGGCUGGAGUGCAGUGGCGCGGUCUUGGCUCAGUGCAACCUCCGCCUCCUGGGUUCAAGCGAUUCUCCUGCCUCAGCCUCCUGAGUAGCUGGGAUUACAGGCGCACGCCAGCAUGCCCGGCUAAUUUUUAUACUUUUAGUAGAGAUGGGGUUUCACCAUGUUGGCCAGGCUGGCCUCGAACUCCUGACCUCAGGUGAUCCGCUCACCUCGGCCUCCCAAAGUGCUGGGAUUACAGGCGUGAGCUACCACGCCUGGCCUGGAGUAGUCUUUUAUUCCUUUGCUUUAUUAUUAUUAUUAUUUUUGAGAUAGAAUCUUGCUCUGCUGCCCAGACUGGAGUGCAGUGGCACUAUCUCAGCUCACUGCAACCUCCACCUCCCAGAUUCAAGCGUUUCUCCUGCCUCAACCUCCUGAGUAGCUGGGAUUACAGGUGAACGCCACCACACCCAGCUAAUUUUUGUAUUUUUAGUAGAGACGUGGUUUCACCAUGUUGGCCAGGAUGUUCUUGAACUCUUGACCUCAAGUGAUCCGCCCACCUUGGCCUCCUAAAGUGCUGGGAUUACAGAUGUAAACCACUGCACCCAGCCUAUUCGUUUACUUUCUUAAUAAGCUUGCUUUCACUUUAUGGACUUGCCCCAAACUCUUUAUUAUGUGAGGUCCAAGAACCCUCUCUUGGGGUCUGGAUCGAGGCCCCUUUGCAGUAUAACAAGGAUCAGGAGUAGACAAAGAAAAGUCCAGGUCCCUGGCUCAACAGAAUCUACUCUCCAGCAAACAAGAUAAAACUUGCUAUCUCCCUUUAAUUGAAGUCCCUAAUGUUUGUGUCCCAGUAGGCAUCCAUAUGGUCUCUGUAUUUACCAGUGGCUGGAAGCUCACUUCGUACAUUACUCUGCACGACACCACAUGACUGCUCCUGACAGUAAUUUGAGGAGCUUCUGAUGAUGGUAAACUUGCACAGUAUGUUCAAAACCAACCUACAAUCUGUGUUACGCCUGUAUGUUUCACAAGGAACAUGUCUGUAUAUUUCGACUCCAGAAAUAUAAUUUGUCAAACCACUUAUCGUACCUAAAAUGUCUUGCGCUGUGUUUUAUAGUAAUUUACACAAAUGAGUUUCAUUUCAUGUAAUUAACCUAGUCCAGUGUGAUGUUUCUCACCCCAACUUUGUCAGCUCUCUUUCCAGCACAGAAACAGAUUCCACUAACCAUCGCCAAAGGCAGGACCUGUGAACAACUGAAGCACCUCCUGGUCUCUGCUCUGCUGAGCCUUCCAUAGCAAAUCCCAGGCAAACAGGGUCCUGAGGAUUGAUGGCACCUGGCAGCAGACAAAGUCUUGCUUUUAUCCUCCAGUCUGGAGUGCAAUGGUGCGAUCUCAGCUCACUGCAACCUCCGCCUCCCGGGUUCAAGUGAUUCUCCUGCCUCAGCCUCCCUAGUAGCUGGGAUUACAGGUGCAUACCACCACGCCCAGCUAAUUUUUGUAUUUUAAGUAGAAACAGGGUUUUACCAUGUUGGCCAGGCUGGUCUCAAAUUCCUGACCUCAGGUGAUCCGCUGGCCUCGGCCUCCUAAAGUGCUGGGAUUACAGGCAUGAGCCACCACGCCUGGCCCCUAAAGACACUUUCUAGGGCCUCAGGGAAAGCCUGAAACUGAGCUGCUGGCUUGGGCAUUUGUCACUUGGCAACUUGGGCAUUGUCUUGUCACAUUUUGUGUUCAUGUGGCUGGUUCUCCGUUGCCACUUCUCAUAAGUCAGUGUUUUUAUCAAGGAUUCCCUUGGCAUUGGUAUUAAUCCAGCUUCUCCCCAAACCGUUCCUGCUCCGAGUGGUGGCACCUGGCUGUGGGCACCAUGAGUCACUGGCUAGCAGCCGGACUCCAGGCUCAGAACCUGAGAAUCUUGGCGGUGGGGCAGGAUUGUGAGGCCACAUUCUGUCCCCGGCGAGACCUGGCUCUGCCCAGUUCCUCCCGGGCCUCCCAACACCCCCGAUGGCUCCUUCCCCCUGGCUGUCUGUCCGGUCCCUCCUUCAUGUCGGUCGCUGGCCCACCGGUGACUGCUUGGCUUCUGCUGGAGCUUAAGGGGGCUUUCCCCCGCCCCGUACUGAGGCACCCCCGCAUCAUUCCUGGGCGUGUCCCCAAGAACGGCCAUGGCCUCCACAGUGCAAGCUGAAGGGAGGAGAUAGAACAGUCUGAAUAAGAACCACUUGUUUCAAUCACAACUCACUGCCCUCGACAUCCAAAUUUGGCUGAUGUUUUAUUGGAUUCCACCCUGCCACCGAUCAAGAAGAAGUCUUGGAAAAGCACCCUGUUCUGUUACUCUGAAUAUAGCAGAGAUAAAAGGUGUCCACUGAAUUCUGCAUGUGUUGCCAGAAAUGUGUUCACAUCCACGUUUUAGCCUGGAGGUAUCGGUGCAUCUGUUAAUCCUGCAGCUGCUUCUCAGGGGUUUUGAGUACAGCAGCUUGGAAACUUACUUAGCCAGAAACUUGCCAUUCCGAAUUUGUGCUUUCGUUAAUUUUUUUUUUUCAACCUCCAUCUCCUGAGAUCAAGUCAUUCUCCUGCCUCAGCCUCCUGAGAAGCUAGGAUUACAGGCAUGCGCCAGCACGCCCAGCUAAUUUUUGUAUUUUUGUAUUUUUUAUUUUAUUUUAUUUUUUUUGAGAUGGAGUCUCGUCUGUCGCCCAGGCUGGAGUGCAGUGGCACAAUCUCGGCUCACUGUAAACUCUGCCUGCCAGGUUCAAACAAUUCUACUGCCUCAGCCUCCCAGGUAGCUGGGACUACAGGUGUGUGCCACCACGCCCGGCUAAUUUUUUUUUUUGUAUUUUUAUUAGAGACGGGGUUUCACCAUGCUGGCCAGGCUGGUCUCGAACUCCUGACCUCGUGAGCCGCCUGC